rnacentral:rRNA from 1 species
UACGUAGGUGGCAAGCGUUAUCCGGAAUUACUGGGCGUAAAGCGCACGCAGGUGGUUUGCUAAGAUUGACGUGAAACCUUCUGGCUUAACUGGAAGAGGUCGUUGAUGACUGGCAGACUUGAGACGAGGAGAGGGGUGCAGAAUUCCCGGUGUAGUGGUGGAAUGCGUAGAGAUCGGGAGGAAUACCAGAGGCGAAAGCGGCACCCUGGCCUUAGUCUGACGCUCAGGUGCGAAAGCGUGGGGAGCGAACGGG